CGGGACGGGUGGGUAACGCGUGGAUAACCUGCCUCACACUGGGGGAUAACAGUUAGAAAUGACUGCUAAUACCGCAUAAGCGCACAGUACCGCAUGGUACAGUGUGAAAAACUCCGGUGGUGUGAGAUGGAUCCGCGUCUGAUUAGCCAGUUGGCGGGGUAACGGCCCACCAAAGCGACGAUCAGUAGCCGACCUGAGAGGGUGACCGGCCACAUUGGGACUGAGACACGGCCCAA
rnacentral:rRNA from 1 species